UAGCAUAAUCAUUAGUUUUUUAAUUGAAAACUUGUAUGGAUGGUUGGACAAGGAAAAAGCUGUCUCUUUUAUUAAAAUUGAAUUUAACUUCUAAGUGAAAAGGCUUAGAUACUUUAGAGGGACGAUAAGACCCUAUAAAGCUUUAUAAAUUUAAAGAUUUUACAUAUUUUAUCUAUAAUGGUAACCUCUGGAGAAUUUAUUGGGUUGGGGCAACAAAAGUAUAAUUAUCAAUAACUGCUAUAAAAUAAUACAAUUAUCUUUGUGUGGGUAGAUUAGUUGAUCCCUGAAAAGGAUUAAAAGAUCAAGUUACUUUAGGGAUAACAGCGUAAUUUAUCCUGAGAGUUCUUAUCAAAGGAAAAGCUUGCGACCUG
rnacentral:rRNA from 1 species